CGUGCCUAAGGUAUGCAAGUCGAAUGCCGAUUUAUCGGCAUGGCAGACGGCUGAGUAACACAUGGGAAUCUACCUCAAACUCGAGAAUAGCCCAUCGAAAGGUGGUGUAAUACUCGAUAGUUCCGUUUACGGUAAAGCUCCGGCGGUUUGAGAUGAGCCCAUGUCCUAUCAGGUUGUUGGUGGGGUAAUUGCCUACCAAGCCUAUGACGGGUAGCUGGUUUGAGAGGAUGAUCAGCCAGACUGGGACUGCGAUACGGCCCAGACUCCUACGGGAGGCAGCAACUAGGAAUCAUGCGCAAUGGACGAAAGUCUGACGCUGCGACGUCGCGUGAGGGAUGAAGGUCUUCGGAUCGUAAACCUCUUUUAUCUGGGAACAAGUUCUGAGUGUACCAGAUGAAUAAGUGCCUGCCAACCACGUGCCAGAAGCAUCGGUAAUGCGUGUGGCACGAGCGUUAUCCGGGUUUACUGGGCGUAAAGAGAUGCGUAGGCGCCUUUUUAAGUCACUUGUAAAAUCUCCCCGCUCAACGGGGAAACUGCAAGUGAUACUGAAUUGGUUGAGUCAAGUAGAGGAGAGGGGAAUUCCUGGUGGAGCGGUUAAAUGCGUUGAUAUCAGGAGGAAUACCAAGUGCGAAGGCACCUCUCUGGACUUGUACUGACGCUAAGGCUCGAAAGUGUGGGGAGCAAAACGGAUUAGAUACCCGUGUAGUCCACACUGUAAACGAUCCCUGCUAGAUGUUUG
rnacentral:rRNA from 1 species